rnacentral:rRNA from 1 species
ACCCUUUAAUGUUUGAUGUUCUAACGUGGACCCGUAAUCCGGGUUGCGGACAGUGUCUGGUGGGUAGUUUGACUGGGGCGGUCUCCUCCUAAAGAGUAACGGAGGAGCACGAAGGUUGGCUAAUCCUGGUCGGACAUCAGGAGGUUAGUGCAAUGGCAUAAGCCAGCUUGACUGCGAGCGUGACGGCGCGAGCAGGUGCGAAAGCAGGUCAUAGUGAUCCGGUGGUUCUGAAUGGAAGGGCCAUCGCUCAACGGAUAAAAGGUACUCCGGGGAUAACAGGCUGAUACCGCCCAAGAGUUCAUAUCGACGGCGGUGUUUGGCACCUCGAUGUCGGCUCAUCACAUCCUGGGGCUGAAGUAGGUCCCAAGGGUAUGGCUGUUCGCCAUUUAAAGUGGUACGCGAGCUGGGUUUAGAACGUCGUGAGACAGUUCGGUCCCUAUCUGCCGUGGGCGCUGGAGAACUGAGGGGGGCUGCUCCUAGUACGAGAGGACCGGAGUGGACGCAUCACUGGUGUUCGGGUUGUCAUGCCAAUGGCACUGCCCGGUAGCUAAAUGCGGAAGAGAUAAGUGCUGAAAGCAUCUAAGCACGAAACUUGCCCCGAGAUGAGUUCUCCCUGAGACUUAGAGUCUCCUGAAGGAACGUUGAAGACGACGACGUUGAUAGGCCGGGUGUGUAAGC